CUUUUACAAUGAAGAGUUUGAUCCUGGCUCAGGAUGAACGCUAGCUACAGGCUUAACACAUGCAAGUCGAGGGGCAGCAUUUUAGUUUGCUUGCAAACUAAAGAUGGCGACCGGCGCACGGGUGAGUAACACGUAUCCAACCUGCCGAUAACUCGGGGAUAGCCUUUCGAAAGAAAGAUUAAUAUCCGAUAGUAUAUUAAAACCGCAUGGUUUUACUAUUAAAGAAUUUCGGUUAUCGAUGGGGAUGCGUUCCAUUAGUUUGUUGGCGGGGUAACGGCCCACCAAGACUACGAUGGAUAGGGGUUCUGAGAGGAAGGUCCCCCACAUUGGAACUGAGACACGGUCCAAACUCCUACGGGAGGCAGCAGUGAGGAAUAUUGGUCAAUGGACGAGAGUCUGAACCAGCCAAGUAGCGUGAAGGAUGACUGCCCUAUGGGUUGUAAACUUCUUUUAUAUGGGAAUAAAGUAUUCCACGUGUGGGAUUUUGUAUGUACCAUAUGAAUAAGGAUCGGCUAACUCCGUGCCAGCAGCCGCGGUAAUACGGAGGAUCCGAGCGUUAUCCGGAUUUAUUGGGUUUAAAGGGAGCGUAGGUGGAUUGUUAAGUCAGUUGUGAAAGUUUGCGGCUCAACCGUAAAAUUGCAGUUGAAACUGGCAGUCUUGAGUACAGUAGAGGUGGGCGGAAUUCGUGGUGUAGCGGUGAAAUGCUUAGAUAUCACGAAGAACUCCGAUUGCGAAGGCAGCUCACUAGACUGCAACUGACACUGAUGCUCGAAAGUGUGGGUAUCAAACAGGAUUAGAUACCCUGGUAGUCCACACAGUAAACGAUGAAUACUCGCUGUUUGCGAUAUACAGUAAGCGGCCAAGCGAAAGCAUUAAGUAUUCCACCUGGGGAGUACGCCGGCAACGGUGAAACUCAAAGGAAUUGACGGGGGCCCGCACAAGCGGAGGAACAUGUGGUUUAAUUCGAUGAUACGCGAGGAACCUUACCCGGGCUUAAAUUGCAUUUGAAUAAUCUGGAAACAGGUUAGCCGCAAGGCAAAUGUGAAGGUGCUGCAUGGUUGUCGUCAGCUCGUGCCGUGAGGUGUCGGCUUAAGUGCCAUAACGAGCGCAACCCUUAUCUUUAGUUACUAACAGGUUAUGCUGAGGACUCUAGAGAGACUGCCGUCGUAAGAUGUGAGGAAGGUGGGGAUGACGUCAAAUCAGCACGGCCCUUACGUCCGGGGCUACACACGUGUUACAAUGGGGGGUACAGAAGGCAGCUACCUGGCGACAGGAUGCUAAUCCCAAAAACCUCUCUCAGUUCGGAUCGAAGUCUGCAACCCGACUUCGUGAAGCUGGAUUCGCUAGUAAUCGCGCAUCAGCCAUGGCGCGGUGAAUACGUUCCCGGGCCUUGUACACACCGCCCGUCAAGCCAUGAAAGCCGGGGGUACCUGAAGUACGUAACCGCAAGGAGCGUCCUAGGGUAAAACUGGUAAUUGGGGCUAAGUCGUAACAAGGUAGCCGUACCGGAAGGUGCGGCUGGAACACCUCCUUUCU
rnacentral:rRNA from 1 species